UCAUCAUCCCGAAGAACAUAUUCCUUUUUCCUAUAUCAUUAAUGAAUGGUCUCAAUGAUUUUGACCGUUGAUUUAUUGCCUUCUUUGACAUGGCGUCUGCUGCAUCCUCUUUAUUUCUUAUGCAAUUGUUUCGUCUACUUCAUCCCUUCUAUAAAUAUACUAAAACGGAGGAUCAGAGAUGUUAUGGGAAUGUCCACGUCAGAUGCAGUGGAGGCUUCUUCUGGGUGGUUUCUUUCUCUUUUUCCUUCCCUUUCGAUUGGCUAACUUCUUUGUGGACGGACAAUCAAUGUGUGGUUUUGUCAGAAGGGUUCAUGCACUUCUGAAAUUGAUUAUACCAAUGAAGAGAACAUAGAUUUCGAGACAUUAGUUUCAUGCAUCGAGGUUCCAAAAACCAGAUGGAAAACGCUUGCGAGCCAUUAGAGUUCGGUAAUCACAUGUGCUGCUUGCGAGCCAUUCUAUUAUACUUGACUAUAUAUGAAUGCUAUAAUAUGUAUCCAAACAGGUUUAGAUGACAUGUAGCCAAGCAACAGCAAUCAGGCUAUUAAGUCUUUUGGUGUGUUCUUCUGUUCUUUUUGGUCUUGUGAAUUGAUAUUUGAGAUCUUAUCUGUAUCAUAUAAUUACCUUGUAGGUCUGUCUUCAACUUUCUUCUGUUAUCGGUGUUGAACAAAGAAGAUGCUAUCAAAAUUGUGCAAGUCUAAGUAUAAGAGUAGGAAGGAGAGGACGAUGCACACUUCUCUAUCUUCUUGAACUAGAGCCCAAAUCAGACCCAGAGUUCGGAAUCCUGUUUUCUCGACUUGGCUGUCAUCGUAGAGCUUCUGUGUCCUGUAUUUUCCUUGAAGAUUUCUGAGCACAAGCAAAGUGUUAGGAGACGGCGAGUGCCUUCCACGAAUUCAUCACAAGUUUUGCCAAGCAACGAAUGGUCAAAUGCAGACAUUCCCUUGUAAUGAUUCCAUCAUUAUGUCCCUUAUGCUUAUCCACUUUUAUAGUACAGGUGUUUAAGAAUGUUGAGCGGCCAGAAAAUGAUCCAUUCUAGGUCAAGGACUUCCAACGCUCUGACGAGUCAAGGCUCAUACCGGGGCUGCUUACCCUUUGUGGUAUUCAUGAUUCAGAAGGGAAACCUAAAUUGCUAUGCUCUUGCAAUGACAACUCUGUUUGCCUCUAUAACUAUGGUGCACAUUGAAGAUUUCCUCUAAGUCCACAUUCCUCAAGUUAGGAUACAGGCAGGUUGAAUCUGCAUUUGAGUACGCAAAGAUUUGCGGGAAGUUGGAUUGUUGUAAUUUCUUUGUUCUCAAUGAAAGCAAGCAAACCCACUUACCAUGGUCCAAGCUUACUGUCUGUUUAUAGCUGAAAUAUAUGUUGAACGCUAAAGACUAUCUUUACACUUGGUGGUGACUGAAGUUGGAGAACAUGAGGUCGGAAGAAUGAAAUCUGCAAUUGACAUUGAAAUCUUUCUUCAGGAUGGUUUCGGUGAUACAAACAACCUGAAGAGGAGAUAGACCCCCUACAGAAAAUUGUCCAACAUCAGUAAGGGAGCAGCCAAUCUCCAGCAAGUCGUGGUAGGAUUCUGAAUGGUCUUUAAUAAGUGGUCAUACUUGAAGAUGGCACUCUAUUAAUUCACUUCAAUGAUUUCUACGAGACAUAUGUUAGGCUUAUGAAUUCAUUUAUCCAUCGAAUUUCAUUGUCACUCUUAUUUCAAGAGAUUUUCA